UACAGAGGUCCCGAGCGUUGUUCGGAUUCAUUGGGCGUAAAGGGUGCGUAGGUGGCGCCGUAAGUGGGGUGUGAAAUCCCGGGGCUUAACCCCGGGACUGCAUUCCAUACUGCGGUGCUUGAGGACUGGAGAGGAGACUGGAAUUUACGGUGUAGCAGUGAAAUGCGUAGAGAUCGUAAGGAAGACCAGUGGCGAAGGCGGGUCUCUGGGUCCCGUACCGACGGCUGGGGUGCGAAAGCAUGGGGGAGCGAACAGG
rnacentral:rRNA from 1 species